rnacentral:rRNA from 1 species
CGGGACGGGUGAGUAAUGUCUGGGAAACUGCCUGAUGGAGGGGGAUAACUACUGGAAACGGUAGCUAUACCGCAUAACGUCGCAAGACCAAAGAGGGGGACCUUCGGGCCUCUUGCCAUCGGAUGUGCCCAGAUGGGAUUAGCUAGUAGGUGGGGUAACGGCUCACCUAGGCGACGAUCCCUAGCUGGUCUGAGAGGAUGACCAGCCACACUGGAACUGAGACACGGUCCAG